AAGAGUGAUGGAAAAUACAGACAUCCUAAUUUUGAGAGGCCAAUUAAACAUUCAGACAAACUUCUGUACAAGGGCUGAAGACAGGACAAGAUGUGCUGAUGUAUAAAAAGUCUAAAUCUGCAGCAUAAUCGUGAAGAGAUGAGGAAAGCCACGUACUCAGAGCCUCACUUAAAGGAAAUGAAACAGUAAAACUGAAUCAGAUUUGGCUCUUCACUUCUGCCUUCAGUGCUGUCCAGACUCAGACAUUAUAUCAGUAGGUUUCAGUUUUACUAACCAAUAAGUUCUUUGUGUACUUAAAGUUGGUUGUUUUUUAAUGGGGAUGUGGAAUGGAGGGGUAAAUAUUUUGUGUUUUUUAAUGAGGAAUCCCAAACACUAGAGUUUUUUCUUUAUAUUGCAAAGGCACUGAUGCCCCUUCUCACAAAAUAUUUCAUGCUUCAGUAUUGGCCUAAAGUUGACUAUCUUUAUAUAAAUUAAAAUCUUCUCAUGUUUUAGUGGUGUUUUAGAAGAUCUUGACAUGUUACUUUUUGAAUUAAAGUGAAACGCAUAGCAUAUGGACUCAACAAAACCAUUCUCUGUGAAUAAAAUGUGUCACAUUCUAUAAUAAAACUAUAUAUAGCAUGUUAUUCCAUAUUCUGUAUGAUUAAUUUUAGAGAUUAUAUCUUGAAUUCUGCUAUCAAUCUACAAUGUUUAUUCAUUCAUUCAACAAAUAUUUGUUAAGAACUACUAUGUGUCAAGUACCUAGUUUGCAACAGUGAAUAAACAGAUAUUCUUGAGUUUGUGAAGUUUAUUAUAUUCAAGAGACAGAAAUAUAGAUAGUACACAAUUAACAUAACACCUAAGAAAAGAAUUUAAUAUGUAAUAAGAUCAUAAGUACAAUGAGAAAAAAUGCAUCACAGUAAGGAGACUGGGGAGAGUUUGCAAUGUGAAUCAUGUGGUCAGAGUGAGUCUCAUUGAAAAGUUAACAUUAGAACAAAGACUGGGAGAAGACGCAGUUGUGAGUCAUCUGUGUUCUGCAGCGGGAACGGCAAGUACAAAGGCUCUGAGGAAGGAGGGCGCCUGGAGUGUUUGCAGCAGUGUGAGGAGGUCAGCUUAAAAGUAGAAAUGAGAAGAAGAAUAGAUGAUAGGAUCAGCUGGCUAUGCAAUUUGCAGUGCAAAAUAAAUUUGUGGG
rnacentral:lncRNA from 1 species